CUACGGGAGGCCCCAGUGAGGAAUAUUGCACAAUGGGGGGAACCCUGAUGCAGCAACGCCGCGUGGAGGAUGACGCAUUUCGGUGUGUAAACUCCUUUUAUAUGUCAAGAAAAUGACGGUAGCAUAUGAAUAAGCACCGGCUAACUCCGUGCCAGCAGCCGCGGUAAUACGGAGGGUGCAAGCGUUACUCGGAAUCACUGGGCGUAAAGGACGCGUAGGCGGGUUGGAAAGUCAGGUGUGAAAUCCUACAGCUUAACUGUAGAACUGCACUUGAAACUUCUAAUCUAGAGUAUGGGAGGGGGAGAUGGAAUUAGUGGUGUAGGGGUAAAAUCCGUAGAUAUCACUAGGAAUACCUAAAGCGAAGGCGAUCUCCUGGAACAUUACUGACGCUAAGGCGUGAAAGCGUGGGGAGCAAACGGGAUUAGAUACCCUGGUAGUC
rnacentral:rRNA from 1 species